rnacentral:rRNA from 1 species
GGACGAACGCUGGCGGCGUGCCUAACACAUGCAAGUCGAACGGAGAACAUUUAGCAAUAGAUGUUUUUAGUGGCGGACGGGUGAGUAACGCGUGAGCAAUCUGCCCUUCGGAGGGGGACAACAGCUGGAAACGGCUGCUAAUACCGCAUAACGUAUCUAGGAGGCAUCUCUUGGAUACCAAAGAUUUAUCGCCGAAGGAUGAGCUCGCGUCUGAUUAGCUAGUUGGUAGGGUAAUGGCCUACCAAGGCUUCGAUCAGUAGCCGGACUGAGAGGUUGAACGGCCACAUUGGGACUGAGAUACGGCCCAGACUCCUACGGGAGGCAGCAGUGGGGAAUAUUGGGCAAUGGGGGCAACCCUGACCCAGCAACGCCGCGUGAAGGAAGAAGGCUUUCGGGUUGUAAACUUCUUUGACCAGGGACGAAGAAAAUGACGGUACCUGGAAAACAAGCCACGGCUAACUACG